GAGGGUAUAGCUCAGCGUUAGAGUGCGUGCUUAGCAUACACGAGGUCCUGGGUUCAAUCCCCAGUACCAACA
rnacentral:tRNA from 1 species